UACGGGGGGGGCAAGCGUUGUUCGGAAUUGCUGGGCGUAAAGGGCUUGUAGGUGGCCAACUAAGUCAGACGUGAAAUCCCUCGGCUUAACCGGGGAACUGCGUCUGAUACUGGAUGGCUAGAGAUUGGGAGAGGGAUGCGGAAUUCCAGGUGUAGCGGUGAAAUGCGUAGAUAUCUGGAGGAACACCGGUGGCGAAGGCGGCAUCCUGGACCAACACUGACACUGAAAAGCGAAAGCCAGGGGAGCAAACGGG
rnacentral:rRNA from 1 species